rnacentral:lncRNA from 1 species
GUAAUUACAUUCAAAAUUACUCCAAUUCUUACCCUGUCACUUAAGAAUUGAAAAGUAUAAUUAGAUACGCCUAAUUUAGUGAGAUACACCGGUCACAAUGGUUAACAAAACAUACCACUAUUAUGUAAUUACAAGUAAUUACAAACAGAUCCAAUUAUUAAGUGACUUUUUAAAUACUAUCUAAAUACAUUAUGAACACUACCUUAAAUAAAGCUAUAGGAAAACUCUAUAAAAAUAAAAGCUAAAAUAAUAGUCAAAGCCAUUUCCAGAAAUAGCCAUCAUAUUUCCUUCUCUCAAGCUCUAUAAAAUUACUAAAUAAACAAAUUAAAAAAAACUAUCAUCUUUGUAGUCAACCAAUUUUGCCCGGGCCCUUUUAAAGUAUUAAAAUAAGCCCAACAAAUAAGUCCAGGUAAAUUGAACACACACAAAUAAAGAAUCCAAAUUCAGAAAUCCAAUGUCCGGUUACAAAUAUUAGGGCCAAAAAUAACUUAAACCCAAAAUCCUUUAAUAUAGACUUAACCCAAUCCUUAGUUCGAACAGCCCAAACCCGAGGCCUAAUACACCCAAAACGAAACACAGCAGUCGAGAGCACCAGAAGCUUCUGGAAUACAAGAGAGUUGGGCUCCCAUGAGAGGCUCCUCGCAUGGCCUCCUUUGCGCGUCUCCUUUCUCCUCCGUACGGCCAUCCCUGCGUUAGAAUACACGAGAAGAGGCCAGCUAACAAAAUACAACAAAUGACAGCAAUAAAAAUGUAUUUUUAUUUAUUAUUUAUUUUACUCUGUAAAUUUGGCUAUAAAACCAAUGAUUGUACCUGCAAAAGGGAUUACGAAUAUACUACGCACACCAGAUAUAAAAAAUAGAGCAUUUCACAAGCAUUUUUUUAGGUGUGAUUUUCUGUUUAAUAGUUGCUUUUAAAUUUCGGCCAAAUGACUUCAUUUUUAUCUUUCAUUAUUGUAUUAAAAAAAUAAUAGAAAGAAAGAGAGAAGAAAUCUCACCUUAUGGAUCGGCCAUUGAUCCUCUCUUUGCUUCGUCAGACUUGAAGUGGAAAAAGAGGUCUUAAGGCCGAAAAUUAUCAUCAAAAGGCCACAUUUGUCGGUUGUUGUUUUUAAGGGAAGAUCGGCGUUGGUGUUAAAAGGGGAAUCAAACGGCGCCAUCCAUCAAUUGUAAUGUUAAAAGCGGCAGCCGAAUAUGAGCAAACACUUAGGGUUUUUUUCCCCCCUUUUCAAUCUGCUCUGCUGAAAUAAGCUCUUAGAAGCUGUUUUUUUUUUUUUGCUUUUAGUUGGCACCGUGAGACGACGACGUUUAAGGCAUGGAUUUGUAGCCUUGAAAUGACGCCGUUUAAGCUUGCCCCACCCGAUCCGAUUCCUUUACCCCUGGGAUCCGCGUAUUUUUGUGGAGAGGGAUAAUUGCGCAAUUGAUCCUUCUUGUUUCGCGCUACUAUUCAAUUACAAGCUAUUUGCUUAUUUCUUUUUUAAUUUGGCUUGGUAAUUUGAGUGCAUUUGCAAUUGGAUCCAUGCUUCAGCUGAAUGUUUUUGGAGAUCUGGAAUAUUUCCAGCUUUAACCCAUAUACGUUUGCACGCAUUGCAUGGGGGUCCUUAUUUUAAUAGUAGUAGUUUGUUUUAUUUAUAAAUUAUCCCUUUAUUUUAUAAUUUUAUUUCAAUUGGUUUUUUAUUAUUUUUUUAAAUUCGUUUCACAUUCAUUUUUCCUUUUAGGUUCUUUUUUUUUUUAUAUAUUUGGAGCUCCUUCGAUGAUUGUGUUUUGUUUUAAAGUCAGUACUGUAAAUUUAUUUUAUCAUAUCAUUUUUACACUGUGUAUAAUAUUUUAUAUGAAUGUUUUUAUGCAUUAUUAUAUAUAUAUAUAAUUAUUCCAUGUAUAUUAUUAAUCUUAUAUUAUUUUAUACACAUAAUUUAUUUUAAAUUUAUUCCUAUAUCUUAUUAUAUAUCUAUGUUGUUUAAAGGAAAAUCCUACAUAUUUUGUGUUUUUUUUCCUUAAUUACUAUUAUACGUAACCCAUAUUAAAUUAUUUUACUAUAGUCUACAUUAUUGAUUUCAUAUUAAUAUUUCUUGUAUGUAUAUAUUUUUUCUCUUUAAAAUUAUGCAUGCGUAUAAUGCGUUUCUUUUAAGAACUAUAAUUUUAAGUCAUACCAUUUAUUUAUUGUAUACACUCUCAUAUUUUAUUAUCCUUAUAUAUGUAUUAUUUAUAUGUGCCAUCAAUUCAAACCAAUUUGUUACAUGUGAAAUUAUGUUAUAUAUUAUUUGUUUUAAAAUUCCCUUUAUAAUAUAGUUUUAUAAAUAUACACCACUAAAUUUAUGUAUUUUUGUAAAUAUAAUUUUUUAUCUUUUUGUGUAUAUGAUUACAUUUUCUAAAAUUUGUUACAUGUAUAAUUUAUAUAUUUACUUAAUUUUUUUUCAUACAUUAUUAAUUUGAUGCUAUUUUUUUUACAAAUAAUUAUUUCUAAAUUUAUUUAUAUUCAUGUUCUAUGAAUUUAUUAUGUACAUUAUAUUUUAUCAUGUGUUUUAUUUUUAUUUUAUAUUUUAUAUGUUAUUUAAGCUAUCAUGCAUGUUGUCAAUUUUUCAAAUGGAUUUGUGCUUAAAAUAUUAUGCAUAUUAUUCAAUUCAAAGGCUUUAUUUUACAAUAUUUAUUUCAAAUGAUAAUAUAUCCCUAGUUUUUAUACAAAUUUGUCAACUUAUAUUAUGUGUCCAUUAAUUCAUCAUUAUUUUGAAAAUGUCCUAUACUAUAUUGACUUCUAAUUCCAUUUUAUUUUGUACAUAUUUUGUGGAUCGUUUUAUAUGGUGUCAUGUUAGUUAUUGUUGUAUGCUAUUUUUGUAUUGAUUGUUCACCAUCCAUGAUUAAGAAUUUGGUUACAUUUUACUUAGAAUAGUUGUACAUAAUUGUUGGAUUUAUUAAUUGUGACUUGUUGUAUCAUAUUAGUUCAUGUUCAUUAAUCCUUUCCUAGGCAAAUGUUUCGAUACAAUGCAUUAAGUAUUCCAUCUAUUUUAAAACAACUAAACGUGUUUUGAGCGAAUUUCCAAUUUUCUUUAUUAUUCAAAAAUUCUGAAAUAAGGCAAUAUCCAAUAUUUGGGAAUUCGGGAAAUCGUGCUCAAUCGUGCUGGGUAUGAUUUUUUUGGUGAACUAAAUAUUUGGAUAACCUUUAUAAUUUUAGUGUACGAGUUUUCAAAAGUCAAAAAUCAAUCGUAUUUUUAAAGGUAUAAAGGAUCGUAUCCAAUCGUGCUGGGUAUGAUGCUGCAUAUCUUUGAAACGAGAGAAUUUUGGUCGCUAAUUUGAACUAUUCAAACAUUUUAAAAAAGAAUCAUACUUUGAAAAAUCUUUUUUUAAAAAAAACCUUCUAGUAUAAGGAUAGCAUCAAGUCAAUUUGGUACCAAUUUUUGGGCGUAAUGAGGGUGCUAACCCUUCCUCAUGCGUAAUCGACUCCCGAACCUAUUUUUGAUUUUCUGUAAACCAAAAUUAUUGUAACAAAACGAUUUAGUAGGUGGCCCAAUCACACCUAAAUCAAAAGAUUGGUGGCGACUCCACAUUUUUGUUUUCAAAAGUCGAUCCCUAUUGUUUUCAAAUAAAAAAAGGGUUUCGACAGCUUGGCGACUCUGCUGGGGAUUGAACAAAGAGAGUCAGGCCAUAAAUUUGAUUGUUUGCUAUCCUUUUGUCAAAGAAUUGAAAAUUUGUGUUGAAAAUUAUGAUUCUUUUAAUUGCAUUUGUUGGCAUGAUUGUAGUGGUACGAGUUUGGUAGAAUAAUAUUGCAUUGCAUUGCUUGACCGCUGUGGUUAUACCUAUUAAGUGGGAGUAAGAAACUAUGCUUUCGUGAGGUUUUCACCUCCGUAUGGGCUAGUGGAUUACUUCCGGGAUACAUCCGUACCUAUGAUUCCGUGAUAUUUUCAUCUUCGCAUGGUCAUAGGGAAAUAUGUUCCCCUGAACCGAACUCGAUUCAUAUGAGCCUAUAAUGGGUGAGGAUUAAGGAAUCUGCUGGUUCGGGUACCUUUACUCUAGGACUGAGCUACAUAUAGUGAACCUUAAGAGCUAUCCUUAGGUAGAGCCGCGUCAAGCCUUAGUCAUUGCCUAUAUGUGUGUUAUGAUUAUCUUUGUUGUUAUACUUCUAUUUUAUCACUUAUAUUUGAUACUAACUUGUGUUUUGUUUUGAUUGUGUUUUACAUGACAUUGCAUACUAAAGGAGGUGUUGGUUCGUAUUCGAUUACUAAGUUAGAAAGUUUAACAUGGAGAAUGAAUUUCUUAAUAAAGUUGAGGAUAAUGCGGCCGUUCACGUAAGGUCAGAGAAUGUAAAACUUUACUCGCAUCCAUGUAACACAGAAUGAGCUGCAGGAGUUGAAAGACAUAUGGUCUCAUUAGGAUGAGGGCACUAAACAAUUGUUCUACCAGAGUUAUGGUGAUAUACCGUACUUGCUCGAUGUUAAGGUAGAUAAGCGUUUGUUCCGAGGUAUGGCUCAAUUUUGGAAUUCUGCUUAUAAUUGUUUCAUUUUUGGGGAAGUAGAUUUGGUUCAUACCUUGGAAGAAUAUACUACUUUGUUGAGAAGUCCAAAAGCUUAAGUCAGAAAAAUUUAUGCUAAGGUUUCUAAUGGUCAAACUUUUGCAAAAAGGUUGGUGAAUAUUUCGGGGAUGAGUGAAUCUUGGGUCACUGCUCGAAUUCAACAGAAGGGGGAUAGUAAGUGUAUUCCCUAGGAAAAUUUGAGAGAUUUGGUUUUGACGCAUCCGGAUGAAAAGAAAAGGGUUGAUAUGUUUGCCUUAAGCAUCUAUAGACUGGUGAUUUUUCCGAAGGCUUUAAGGCAUGUUGAUGAGGCAGUCACUGAUUUGUUUAAUUGUCUCGAAAAGGGAGUCACACCUGUACUUGCAAUACUAGCCGAGACGUUUAGAUCUUUGAGCAUGUGUCGAAGGACAGGGGAAGGUCGAUUUAUUGGAUGUGCACAGUUGUUGAUGAUAUAGUUUCACGGGCAUUUUUGGAAAGUGAAUAGGGUUUCGUACCGUGUCUUCUCCGAAGGUUACUCCCUAUUAAAAGAAGAGAUGGCCAUGCAAAGGAGAGAUGAUAAUUCAGAAGAGAAAUGGAUGGAAAUUCUCCAAAAUCUCUAGGAGGAUGAUGUAGAGUGGAGAGCUUUCUAGAUGGUUCUUGAUGAAAUCUUGUAUUGAUAUGGUAGCUAUAAUUGGGUGCCAUUGUUAGAAAUUUGGGGAGCUACUGGAUAUACUCUUUUACUUGCAUUAAGGCAAUAUAAAUCGAGGUGGUUCAUACUUACGACAUACGGGCUGGCUCAGUGUGAAUUUCCAUAUAAAAGAGAUCACUAUAGGAAGAAAGUUCGGGAGUUAUCUGAUGCCUGGAGGCAAACACACUGGAUGAAGAGGCUGACUGUUGGUUCCAUGGUAACACACGAAUACAAUAGAUGGUUUAGGAAAAGGGUCAAUGAUAAUAUUCCUAGACCAAGUUUGGAAAGCACCCGACCAAUGGAGGAACAGUUACAAAUUGCCCCGUCAGAGUUGGAAAUUAUAAAGCAAGAUUUUGAGAAGAAGAGUUCUGAGUUUGGGAAGAAGAUCGAGUAGUUGGAAGAGGAAAAGAUGCACUUGAAGUUAGAUGUGGAGAUUCAGAAGUUAGAGGCAGAAAUGCUACAGAAAAGGAAGAGUGAAGUUGAGGAAGAUUUGGAAAGCUUGAAAACAGAUUAUAAGAAGCUGCGCUUAUCAAUGAGGACUGCUGGAUUAGGAAAGACUUCAGAACAAUGGCACUAAGAGGUUCGAGAAGAAAGGGCUAAGGCAGAUCAAUGGGAAAAGAGGCUCCAAGAGGCUCAAGCUCGGAAUGAAGCCUUGAAAAGAAGUUUGUCGGAGAGUAAGAAUGAAAAAGAUGAAUUAAGAGCUAGAGUAGCGGAACUUGAGAGAUCUCUGUGUUUAUACCGGAAUCGUAAUUCUGUGAUAGGUUUAAAGCAAGCUUAGGUAAGAUCGAGGAGAUGAAAGGGAAAAUAGAAGAACUAGAAAUGGCAUUGCAAAGUUGUGAAAUGAGGAUUGAGUUUUUGGAGGCAAAUGAGGAACAAUGGAAGGGCCAGCUUCAUCACUCCCAAGACCAGGUUAGAAGCAGAGAUUACAUCAUGGGCGAGGCUGUAAUGCAAAUUCGAGAAGUAGCUGAUUAUUUGCAAUCUUUAGCGGUACAAGUAGACGUAUUAAGCGUGAAGUACGAGUUGGAGUCAGAUAGGGGACAAGAACUAGCUUCAUUACUUAGGAAAAUUAAAGCCCUGAGUGUUAGGGCGAAGUCGUAUUUGUAACUCAGUUUUAUGUAAAGAAUUUUAUUUUCUAGUAAAGUUUUAUAAAAGGAAUUGAAUCAGAAUUGAUGCCUCCUUUGCAUUCAUGCAUUUGCAUUACAUUACAUUAUAUGCAUUAAAGCUCAUAAUAAGAUUCUAAUUAAUUAAAAAUUAUUUCAGUAAUCUGGAAACCAACAAAAACAUACCAAAUAAGUAUCCCUACGGUACGAGGAAAAAGACUAAGUUAAUGGACAAAAGACUGGAAAAGUUAGAACAAAUGCAAAAGGAUAUGGAAGAGCAAAUGCAGUCACAGAUGCAAGAGCAGUUGGUUAACAUUCAGCAAGAGAUGAAAGAACAGAUGAUAAAGUCCCAAAGAGAGAUGAUGAGUCAGUUGUCCCAAUUGCUGAUGAGAAGAGUGGAUAAGGGAAAAGGUCCUAUGGAUAAUAUGGGAGAAAAUAAUGAAGACCCUCAAUAUCCUCCCGGCUUCACUCCUAUACAUGUGCAGACACAACCUGAGAUUAAUUUGCAGAAGUCAUCUAUUACGAUCAGGCCUCAGUAGUUUCAGGCUGGGGUUUCAGUACCAAUGAAUUUUCAAGCUGGUUCAGGUUAUAAUCCUGAUAACAACUCUAAAAAUCCAAUUGUUCCUGAUUUGGAUGAGGUUGCGAAAGAGGAAAGGGCAAAGGCGGAGUCAUAAAAGCAAUUAGAAGAACGGUGUAAAUGGCUGGAGGAAAAGGUCAGAGCAAUGAAGAGUAUUGAUAGACACCCGAGAAUUGAUGCAAAAUAUCUAAGUUUGGUCCCGGACUUAGUACUGCCAUACAAGUUCAGGAUGCCAGAAAUUGAGAAAUACAAUGGAACGAGCUGUCCUGAAGCUCAUGUCACUAUGUUUUGCAGAAUAAUGACGGGAUAUGUUCAUAACGAUCAAUUGUUGAUUCAUUGCUUCCAAGAUAGUUUGGUAGGAGUGGCUGCUAAAUGGUACAAUCAAUUGAGUCGAAAUAGGAUUAGUUCAUGAAGAGAUUUAGCACAGGCGUUUAUGAAGGAAUAUAGCCAUGUGACAGAUAUAACUCCUGAUAGGAUUACUCUGCAAAAUAUGGAGAAGAAACCAAAUGAAAGUUUCAAGCAGUAUGCACAGAGGUGGAGGGAAAUGGCCAUUCAGGUUCAACCACCGCUCUUGGAGAAAGAAACUACGAUGCUCUUCAUUAACACCUUAAAGGCUUCGUUAUAACUCAUAUGCUAGGAAGUUCCACGAAGAGCUUUACGGACGUGGUCAUGACAGGAGAAAUGAUUGAGAAUGCCACAAGAAAUGGAAGGAUAGACGCAGGAGAAAGUGCUAAAAGGUCUGUGUCACAGAAAAAAGAGAAUGAGGUGAACAAUACGAACAUGGGAUAUUCAAAGUCUGUUACUGUAAGUAAACCAAAAGCGGUAACUACCGGUCAGGGAUCAUCAAGGCAAGAGUCAGGAACCAGGCAGAAUAAUGAGAAGAUUCAAUUUACACCAAUUCCCAUGACAUUCAAAGAGUUAUAUCAAAGUUUGUUCGAUGCACAUGUGGUGGCACCUUUUUACUUAAAGCCAUUGCAGCCUCCGUUCCCUAAAUGGUACGAUGCUAAUGUUCCAUGUGAGUAUCACGCAGGAAUUGUGGGUCAUUAGAUAGAAAAUUACACCACUUUUAAGAAGCUAGUUAAGAGAUUUAUCUAGAUGGGCAUUUUAAAAUUCGAUAAUGCACCCAGUACUGAAAAUCCGCUACCUAAUCAUACUGAUAGCUGGGUAAAUACAAUAGAUGGAGGUAUUGGAAAAAGGACCAAGAAGGAUGUUUCAGAAGUAAAGACUCCUUUGAAACCAGUUUGGAAAGAGAUGACAAGAAGGGGAUUAGUUACUUCAAACACGGAAGGAAAUAAUAAUGGGAUAGAGAAUUAUUGUGAGUUCCAUCAUAAAGAGGGACACAUAAUUUAGGAUUGUGAAGGAUUCAGAGUUGUUAUUCAGAGCCUGAAGGACAGUAAAGAAAUAGAAUUUUAUGAAGAGGUUUCAGAAGAAGAGUAUAUAUGCGCAUCAGAAUCCGUAUCAAGUGUCCCGAAAGUAAACUAUCCUGUGGUUAUUAUUUCGUGUCCUAAGAAUGAAGUAGGAGUUCAAGUGACGCCAAAGAUCAUAAUUUAGAAGUCGGCAGUUUUUUCUUACAAGGAUAGUAAAAGGGUCCCCUGGAACUACGAUUGUAAAGUGAUGAUCCCAGGAAAGGAGAGUACAAUCAACUCGUUAAAGGCGGACCAAGAUACAGUGUCUCACACAUGUAAUGGAAGACGAUAUGAUACCCGAAUAGAGCCUAUGAAAGGAAGAGAUGUGCUGGUCGAGCAAGAGAAGGGAAAAAUAGUUGAAUUUGAUAUACCUGUUAAUGAACCAGUGAAAGAAGAAGAAGUUAAGUAAUUCCUGAAAUUUCUGAAACAUAGUGAGUAUAGUGUGGUGGAACAAUUGCAUAAACAGCCAGCCCGUAUAUCUAUAUUGGCUUUACUCUUGAGUUCAGAGGUGCAUCGGAGUGCAUUGAUGAAGGUGCUAAACGAGACAUAUGUAACCAAUGAUAUUUCCUUCAAUAAGUUGGAUUGAUUGGUUAACAACAUAAGUGCAGACAAUUUCAUCUAUUUCAAUGAUGAUAAGAUACCCCUAGGAGGAAUGGGAUCUACCAAAGCUUUGCACAUAACUACUAGAUGUAAGGGAUACACAAGGAAAUUUGAUUGGAGAAGGAAAAAGACUUUUCUGAUGAAAUGAUAGAAAAAAUAAAUAAAAAUCACAUUUCUAAAGAAGAAAUAUAUAAAAUAUCUAAGUUUAAAAUAUGGAGUCAAAGACAUAUAGAAAAGAUUAAUGGUAACACAGUCGCUAAGGAUACUAGAGGAGGAUUAAUAGAAAUUCCAUUAUUUACUAAAGAAAAAAUUAAGAGGAUUAAAAAGAAAUACCCUCAAGUUAGAUAGAUACAUUUAGGUAUAAUUAUGAUAACAAUUAGAGAUUUAUUUAGAAAAGGACAUGAUCUACCUAUCAUAGCAGUUUUAUUAGAUAAAAGAUUUGAAAACCCGAUCAAAGCACUUAUUGGAGGAAUACAGUCUAAUUUACAUACUGGUGUAAUAGGAUUUAAGGUUAAACCAAACUAUUUUAUAUCUAUUACAGACCCUCUAAUAGAAGAGUGUUUAUGUUUAAGAAUUCAGACAAAAAAUUCUGAAAUAAGUGAUUUAGCAGAAGAUCUAGCAAUAAGUUAGACUUCUAUUAAUGAAUAUACCAACACGACAGAAGUAGAAAUUAAAGAAAUCAAUAAUAAAAUAAUUGAGUUAUUUGAACCCAAUAAAUUUACUACAGAGAUACAACCAAAAUUACUACAUCUAAAAGAUCUGUCAAUACCAAAAGAUUGGAUGAUUGAUAGAAUAAGUGGUACUAGUACUUCAAAACCUGUAAGUACUAUAGAAUAUAUGUCAUCUGGAGAUAGACUAUAUUUUAAAAAUAAUGCUAUAACAAAUACAAAUGAUAAUUUAGUUUUACCUUCUAAUUCUCAAAUAGAGGAAGAAGAAGAUAAUAUUAGUACAAAUUCGACAACACCAAUAGGUAUGAAAACAGUUCAAAUACCUAUUUUCCCUACUGAACCUAGUAGAAAUUUUAGAAAUACUAGAAUGGAAGAAAUACAAUCUACUACUAUUAUUCAACAAAUGAAAAUAGGAAAAAAUGAUAUUAUUACAUUUUCAAAUUUCCAACCUAGGAAAUAUUAUACAUAUAUAGAAAUUACACUUCAAUUUAGAGACGAUAAAACAUAUUUUUUGCAUGCUUUAUUAGAGUUAGCAUUAUUUGCCAAAAUCCUGAUUUAUAAUCGAAUUUAUUGAAGUAUUUUGCAUGUUUAGCUUGAUUAAUCAAAACAUCUUUUCGUGGAAUAAAAUAUCCAUCAAAAAUAGUGUUUUGGUUUAGUCUUUUAUAAUUAAUUACCAUCUUAGCUUUUUCUCUUUUUAUUUCAGCAUGGUUUCUUACCAUAAAGGCUGGACUUGAGUGUGGACUAUUAGUUUUUUCUAUUAAUCCUUUUUCCAAUAAUUCUUUGAUUUGUAUAUCAAAUUCAUCUAUAUCUUGUUUAGUAUAGAUCAUAGGUUUGAUUCUAAUUAUUUAUUAGGAUUCUUUAAUUUUAUUUCAUAAUAUCUUGGACUAUUUUCCCAUAAUUUUAAUGGUUCUUCACUAAAAUUAUUUUCUAGAAUUUUAAACAACCAAUGAUUUGUUUCUAGUUGUUUAAUUUGUUCUUUUCUUAUUGGUCUAAAUCCUUUAUCACAUACAAAUUUAUGGUUUUCUAUUAAAGUUAUUUCUACAGAAGUUUUUUCUAUUGAUAAUAUUACUAAAUUUCUAUCUAUAGAAAACGGUAGAUAAUGAUAUAUAAAAUUAUUUCCUAAUAAUAUGUCUCCAUGCAUUUCAGGAAAACACAAUAUUUUAGGAAUUACAAAUCUUACAUUAUUUAUGUAAAUUGGUAUAUUUCUAGCUUUAAAUUGAAUUAUGGUUUCUUUACCAUCAAUUCCUAUAGCUCUGAUUGGGUUUUUCAUUAAUUCCCAUUUUUCUACAGGAAUGGCAUUUUCUCUACAACUACUUGUGGUAGCUCCAGUAUCUAAUAAAGUAUGCAAAGAAUAUGUUUUAUAGUCUCUAAAUUGAAGUGUAAUUUCUAUAUAUGUAUAAUAUUUCCUAGGUUGGAAAUUUGAAAAUGUAAUAAUAUCAUUUUUUUCCUAUUUUCAUUUGUUGAAUAAUAGUAGUAGAUUGUAUUUCUUCCAUUCUAGUAUUUCUAGAAUUUCUACUAGGUUCAGUAGGGAAAAUAGGUAUUUGAACUGUUUUCAUACCUAUUGGUGUUGUCGAAAUUGUACUAAUAUUAUCUUCUUCUUCCUCUAUUUGAGAAUUAGAAGGUAAAACUAAAUUAUUAUUUGUAUUUGUUAUAGCAUUAUUUUUAAAAUAUAGUCUAUCUCCAGAUGACAUAUAUUCUAUAGUACUUACAGGUUUUGAAGGUGCACCUAAUGGUCAUUAUCAAUGGAGAGUAAUGCCAUUUGGGUUAUGUAAUGCACCUCAAAUCUUCCAAAGAUGGAUGGAUUCUAUAUUUAAUAAAUAUAAAAAAUUUUGUGUAGUCUAUAUAGACGAUAUAUUAAUAUUUUCAGAAACACUGGAAAAACAUAAAAAACAUUUAAAUAUUAUCUCUCAAGAAUUCAUAAAACAUGGAAUUAUUUUAAGCCCUAAGAAAAUAGAAUUAGAAAAAACAGAAAUAGAAUUUUUAGGUUUAAAUCUAUCUGCUGAUGGUCUUAAACUACAAGAUCAUAUUAUAGUAAAAAUAAAAUAAUUUCCAGAAGAAAUUAAAAACCAAAAACAACUUCAACAAUUUUUAGGAAUAGUUAAUUAUGGAAGAAACUUCUUUCCUAACUUAUCUCAAAAAAUAGGUGAUUUAUAUGAAAAACUAAAAAAGGAUAAAACUUUUAGUUGGUCUAAAGAAGACUCAGAAAUUAUUAAAAAUAUAAAAUCAGAAAUAAAUUAUACCCCAAAAGUCUAUUUACCAAAACAAGGUGAUAGAUUAAUUUUAGAAACCGAUGCAUCAGAAAAAUAUUGGGGAUGUAUUUUAAAAGCUAAAACAGCAAAAAACGAAGAACUAAUAUGUGGAUAUAGUUCUUGAAAAUUUAAAUCAAAUGAAGUUAAUUAUGCUAUAUAUGAAAAAGAAUUAUUAGCUAUUAAAAAGGCAAUAAAAACCUUUCUCAUAUAUUUAGCAUCUGAAAAUUUUAUUAUAAAAACUGACAACCAGGCAGUCAAACAAUUUCUGACUAAUAAUAGUCUAGAAAGUGUACCAAGAAGAAUUAGAUGGUACAAUGAUUUAUGUAGUUUCAAUUUUGAAGUUUUAUAUGUCAAAGGUAUUAAUAAUAUUAUUGCUGAUUAUCUUAGCAGGCCUUAUGGAAAGAGGUAAAAAACCUCUAGAACAAGUCGGGGAAUGGACUACUGUCCAUAAAAAACCCAACAAAGGAAAGCAGAUAAAUCCUAAUCAAGGAUUUACUCCCAAUCAAGGAUUGGCCCCCAAUCAGGGAUUUACUCCUAUAUUAACAGGAUUCUAUCCUAAUCAAGGAUAUUAUGUUCCUUAUCCAAUGGUAAGACAACCAACUGGAUCUCCUUCAUCAUAUGCAUCAAGAAUGGUAAACGAAUACCCUUCAAAAAGAAUAAUUCAAUCUCCUUGGUCUCAAGAUCCGAAUUCAGCAUAUCAAGCCAGUUAUUCUGAAGUUAUAAAAGGAGCAGAAAAUUUGUUGAAACAACAACAAAUUCCAUAAAUAAAAGAUUUUUAUAAUCCAGGAUUACCAAGUGAAAUUUAUAAAUAUAUUAAUGAAAUAUGGAAAACCCAUAUUUUAGAACAAAGAGUAAAUUUUAGACGAGCUCUUACAAAGUUUUCACAAUUUCUAGUUGAAAAAACAACCAAAGAAAAUGAAGCACAUGAAUUAUUAUUAAAAGUAGUUUUAUACAGAGAUUGGCAAGAACUCGAAAUAGAAUAUACAAAUAUCAAUGAGAUAAAUAAUCUUAUUGAUAUAUUUCAAUACUUUAUUCAUAAAGGAACAAAUAGUCCCAUUAUGAAUAAAAUGUUUAGAAUAUGUUUAUAUAAUAAAGCUAGGAAAAUACUACCAGCAGAAAUUUUUGAAAAAAUCAAUAAAAUUAUCUGCAACCAGCAGAUUCAAUAUAAAAAAGUCUUUUCUGAAUACUUUUUACAAUCAUAUGUUUAUCUAAAUGAUAUAGGGGAAGAAAUUCCUACUAUAAAAUUCAGAUUAGAUCAUGAACCAUUUGAUAUAAACAGUAUUGAAUGGGGUUUCGUUAGACAAAUUGUAGUACAAAACUUUUCUUUUCACUUAUUAAAAGAUUUUCCUGCUAUUAUAAAAGCUAUAUUGUCACUUUUAGUAUAUCAAGAUGAUUUUUAUUACUAUUUUUAUAUCCAAAUAAGUAGUCUUAUUGGAAUUGCUGAAAAAGAGCGAUUCUAUCAACCAUAUCAAAUAUGGAUUAUUCAACGAAUGUUUGAUAGUCAUUAUUUAUCAGCAGCCAAAGAAGAUAAAAAACACUUGACCAAAACCAUUGACAAGUGUUACAAUAAUCCAAAAUAUUUUCAAAUCCAAGCCGGAAUUGAUUUAAUGUCAACAGCUCGACAUGUACUUCAAGAUCAAACAUACAAACUAUCUACCGAUGGAAGAAGAAUAGUAGCUGAUAAAAACAGCAUGAUUCAAAAAUCAAGAGAUGAAGAAUCCAUACAACUGCUAAAGAAAAUAGCAGAUAUGGAAAUAGACGAUUUCCCUUCAGAAAUAAUUGAAGAAAUCAAGAACACAUGGGAAACUUGGAAUUCAUAUAUCAAAUUAUAUAUUUAAUAGAAAAAAUUUAAAUAUUACCUCUCAAGAAUUCAUAAAACAUGGAAUUAUUUUAAGCCCUAAGAAAAUAGAAUUAGAAAAAACAAAAAUAGAAUUUUUAGGUUUAAAUCUAUCUACUGAUGGUCUUAAACUACAAGAUCAUAUUAUAGUAAAAAUAAAAGAAUUUCCAGAAAAAUUAAAAACCAAAAACAACUUCAACAAUUUUUAGGAAUAGUUAAUUAUGUGUUUAGAAGGGGUUCUAGUAGAUAAUGAUUCGGCAUUGAAUGUGUUACAUUUGUCCACACUAAACAAGUUACCUGUGGGUAGCUCUCACAUGAAAGGAUGUCAGAACAUAGUAUGAGCAUUUGAUGGUACAGAGAGGAGAGUCAUGGGAAGAAUAGAAGUGCCCUUGUUAAUUGGCCCAACCACGUAUGAGGUAGAUUUCUUAGUAAUGAAUAUCAACCCUUCUUACAAUUGUUUGUUGGGAAGACCUUGGAUACAUUCUACAGGAUGGCUAGGUGGCAAAUUUUGCUUUCUGAAUUUGACAUAAUUUACGUGAGUCAGAAGGCUGUGAAAGGAAGCGCAAUAGCAGAUUUUCUGGCCAGCCGAGCUUUAGAAGAUUACGAACCCUUGAAUUUUGACUUCCCCAAUGAGGAGAUAGUAUAUGUGGCAGCUGCUGAAGAGGAUACUAUAAAAGGUCACUUUUGGAAAUUGAAUUUUGAUGGAGCCUCAAAUGCUGUGGGUAAUGGAGUUGGGGCAGUUCUAGUAUCCCCAAGUGGAGAUCAUUAUCCAUUCACAUGUAAACUGGAUUUUGAUUGUACGAAUAAUAUGGCAGAAUAUGAAGCAUGUAUCAUGGGGCUCAGGGCAGCUAUAGAGCACAAGAUCAAGGCAUUGGAAGUAUAUGGAGAUUCUGCGCUAGUAGUUUAACAGCUUCGAGGUGAAUAGGAGACAAGAGACGCUAAACUAAUCAAUUAUAGAAGGCUGGUGUUGGGGUUAGUUGAAGAGUUUGAUGAUAUUACUUUCAAUUAUCUUCCUCGUGAUGAAAACCAGAUGGCAGAUGCUUUGGCUACUUUGGCUUCCAUGAUCAAAGUAAGCAGACAAGAAGAUGUGAAGCCCAUUCAGAUGACUAUUUGUGAGGCCCUGUCCUAUUGUUAUAAUAUAGAGGAAGAAGAAAGAGAUGAUCAUCGUUGGUAUCAGGAUAUAUUGCGAUAUGUGAGAAAUUGUGAAUAUCCAGAUCAAGCCACGGAGAAUGACAAAAGAACGUUGAGAAGGCUCGCUUGUGAUUAUGUUUUAGAUGGAGAGAUCCUGUACAAAAGAAGGAAGGAUCAGGUACUGUUGAGAUGUGUGGAUGCCGUGGAGUCCAAGAAAAUCAUGGAAGAGGUGCACGAAGGUGUUUGUGGAACACACGCUAAUGGGUUUAUAAUGGCCAGACAAAUUAUGAGGUUUGGAUAUUAUUGGUCAACCAUGGAAGUAGACUGCAUCAAUUAUGCCAAGAAAUAUUACAAAUGUCAAAUUUAUGGUGAUACGAUUCACGUGCCUCCCUCGCCUUUGCAUGUUAUGACUUCCCCAUGGCCAAUUUCCAUGUGGGGCAUGGAUGUCAUAGGGCCAAUUUCACCGAAGGAUUCAAAUGGGCAUCAUUUCAUUUUUGUGGUUAUUGAUUUUUUACCAAGUGGGUGGAUGCUGCUUCGUACGCUAAUGUAACUCAAUCGGCAGUCAGCAGAUUCUUAAAGAAGGAAAUUAUAUGUCGGUAUAGAAUGCCUGAGAGGAUCAUAUCUGAUAAUGUGCUAAAUUUGAACAAUAAUACAAUAGCAGAGGUCUGCAGUCAGUUUAAGAUCAGACAUCAUAACUCAUCACCAUCUCACCCGAAGAUGAAUGAGGCAGUGGAAGCAACCAAUAAAAAUAUUAAGAAGAUUGUGGGGAAAAUGACCGAAACUUACAAAGAUUGGCAUGAAAAGUUUCCAUUUGCGCUCUAUGCUUAUCGAACAUCUGUCAAAACUUCUACUGGGGCAACACCUUUUUCAUUGGUAUAUGGAAUGGAAGCAGUUCUACCCAUUGAAGUGGAGAUACCUUCUCUUCGAGUUUUGUCAGAAUUGAAGUUAGAUGAAGCAGAAUGGAUACAAUCUCGAUAUGAUCAGUUGAAUCUGAUUGAGGAAAAGAGGCUAAAGGCUAUUCAGCAUGGACAGAUGUAUCAAAAAAGAAUGAUGCGGGCUUAUGAAAAAAAGGUUCGCCCAAGAGAGUUUCAUGAGGGAGAUUUGGUUUUGAAGAAGAUUCUUUCCAUACAAAAAGAUUUCAGAGGAAAAUGGAUGCCAAAUUGGGAGGGGCCUUAUGUGGUAAAGAAGGCUUUUUCCGAUAGUGCAUUAAUCCUGGCCGAAAUGGAUGGAAGAAAUUUGUCUAAUCCGGUAAACUCAGAUUCAGUCAAAAAGUACUACACUUAACAAGGGAAGGAAGCCAAGGUGAAAACCCGCAAAGGGCGCUUCGAGGCUUUCAAAAAAAAACAAAAAAAGGGGGCCAAAGUGAAAACCCGCAAAGGACGGUUUAGGACCAAAUAAAAAGGGCAAAGGUGAAAACCCACAAAGGGCACUUUGAGACUCAAUAAUAAUAAAAGAAAAAAAGAAAAAGAGAAAAAGGAGAGGCCAAGGUGAAAACCCGCAAAGGGCGCCUUGUGACCAAAGGGGAUUUGAGUUGAAAACCCGAAAAGGGUGGCUCAAAUAAGGAUCCAAAGUGAGAAGGCAGUGGUCUCGCUAUACUUGAAUUAACCAUGAAGGGGGUAUGUGGCAUCUUGGGGCGUUAACAAAGUACUUCUGAUAUCUUAAACACAUAUCGAGUUUGAAUUGGUGUUCAAGAGGUUCGUACAGUGAAGCUCAGGUUGCGAUAACAAGGGUACCUAGUCUUCGUUUUCAGUAAAUUGGUUAUCUUUGAAUUAUCCCUUAUUUUUCAAGAUACACAUUCCCAAAUUAAUGGCCAUUGUUGUUCUUUUGAUAAUUUACUUUGAAUUUAAGAUUAGUUCCAUUCGUGUUCAUUAUUACGAUUUGAUUGCAAGUAUGUUGCAUUGACAUAAUGAUGAAUGAACUAGUAAUGUUUUCACAAUAAAAGUUUUGCAUAUUACUCUAGGAGUUUCUAGAUAAUGCAAGAAUCUGAAGUGGAAUUAUUGUUUAGAAUGAGCUCAAGUUCAAGGAUAUAUUUGGAUAAAUCACCUUGGUGAGAUCUCUGUCCAAAUGAUGAUAGAGCAAAUAGGCAAGAUAUAGUAUUGAUGAUACAAUGUUAUUCUCGAGAAAAGGGAAAUGACGUUUUGUAUUCAUACAAAGAUCAAAAAUGCACAUUUGGCUAUAACACCUGAUGAGUGAGGUAGCAAAUUGACCAUAGGAAAAUUCAACUAUGAGUUGCAAUAUUUUUGUCCCAAAAGAAUAGUGGAAGGUACGUUGGAAUUAUAGUGGGGCAAGCUGGCCGAGCAGGAUAUGAUUGUUUCUUUGGAAUACUCUAUCAAGAUGACGGUUGAGCAAAUGCAUCAGUAACAGUGUUAAUAAGCAAACGAGUGGUGAUACCCUAAAUUGUUAAAUGGAAUUAUUCUCAUUUCUGCAUAUAUUAUUCGUAGCACAUUUAGUUAGGAGCAUUAGAUUCAUCUCAAGCUAGCAUCCUAAUUAUUUGGCAUAAACAUACGCAUACUAAAAUAGAGUAUACAUGAUUGAAGAUCUUAUCUCCCUGAAGUUGCAGUGGAGCAGAUCGAAAAAGGUGAAUCUUAUCUCCACGUAUCAGCAAUGGAGUAGAUUUUACUACCAGCCUCAUCUCUCUGAGGUAGCAAGAGAGUAGGUUGAAGAAUGAAUCUUAUCUUCCUGAGGUAGCAGGGAAGCAGACUGAAGAUUGAAGAUCUUAUCUCCCUAAGCAGUAGCAAAGUAGAUCGAAAGAGGCGAAUCUUAUCUCCAUGUAUCGGUAAUGGAGCAAAUUUAAGCCCCAAGCCUUAUCUCUUUGAAGUAGCAAGAGAGCAGGUUGAAGAAUGAGUCUUAUCUUUUUGAGGUAGCAAGGAAGCAGACUAAGAAUUGAAGAUUUUAUCUCCCAGAGACUGCAGUGGAGUAGAUCUUCGCAGACGGUGAAUCUUAUCUCCAUGUAUCGGCAAUAGAGCAGAUUUUACCACCAGCCUCAUCUCUCUGAGGUAGCAAGAGAGCAGGUUGAAGAAUGAGUCUUAUCUUCUUGAGAUAGCAAGGAAGCAAACUGUGGAUUGAGGAUCUUAUCUCCCUGAAGUUGCAGUGGAACAGAUCGAAAAUAGUGAAUCUUAUCUCUAUGUAUCGGCAAUGGAGCAGAUUUAACCCACCAACCUCAUCUUCCUAAAGGUGUUUGGAAAAGAGGAAUGCCAAAAAGCCAAAAUUUAGCAAGACCGGGCAAAAUAAGCCAAACAAUUUUUCUAAAGGUCCUUGCUCUAUUCCUGUUACACGUCAAUGAGAAAAGAGGGGCAGCUGUAGUCAACCAAUUUUUCCUGGGCCGUUUUAAAGUAUUAAAAUAAGCCAAACAAAUAAGUCCAGGUAAAUUGAACACACACAAAUAAAGAAUCCAAAUUCAGAAGUCCAAUGUCUGGUUACAAAUAUUUGGGCCAAAAAUAACUUAAACCCAAGAUCCUUUAAUAUAGACUUAACCCAAUCCUUAGUUCAAACAGCCCAAACCCGAGGCCCAAUACACCCAAAAGGAAACACAGCAAUCGAGAGCACCAAAAGCUUCUGGAAUGCCAGAGAGUUGGGCUCCCAUGAGAGGCUCCUCGCAUGGCCUCCUUCGCGCGUCUCCUUGCUCCUCCGUACGGCCAUCCCUGCGUUAGAAUACACGAUAAGAGGCCAGCUAACAAAAUACAACAAAUGACAGCAAUAAAAAUGUAUUUUUAUUUUUUAUUUAUUUUACUCUGUAAAUUUGGCUAUAAAAGCCAAUGAUUGUACCUGUAAAAGGGAUUACGAAUAUAUUGCGCACACCAGAUAUCAAAAAUAAAGCAUUUCACAAGCAUUUUUUAAAGGUGAUUUUCUGUUUAAUAAUUGCUUUUAAAUUUCGGCUGAAUGACUUCAUUUUUAUCUUUCAUUAUUAUAUUAAAAAAUAAUAGAAAGAAAGAGAAAAGAAAUCUCACCUUAUGGAUCGGCCAUUGAUCUCUCUUUGCUUCGUCAGACUUGAAAUGGAAAAAGAGGUCUUAAGGCCGAAAAUUAUCAUCAAAAGGCCACAUUUGUCGGUUGUUGUUUUUAAGGGAAGAUC